rnacentral:rRNA from 1 species
UACGUAGGGGCCGAGCGUUGUCCGGAAUCAUUGGGCGUAAAGGGCGUGUAGGCGGCCUUUUAAGUCCUGCGUGAAAUACUGCGGCUCAACCGCAGACGGUCGUGGGAAACUGGAAGGCUAGAGUGCGGGAGAGGAGAGUGGAAUUCCCGGUGUAGCGGUGAAAUGCGUAGAUAUCAGGAGGAACACCGGUUGCGAAGGCGGCUUUCUGGACGACAACUGACGCUGAGACGCGAAAGCGUGGGGAGCAAACAGG